UACUGUAGGCGAAAAGGCAGUUUCUGACAGUAUGAGAGUUUAGAGUAAGAAGAUUAUGACAGAAACAAAAAAUCAGCAAAUAAAGUGAACAUUAUAGGGAAACAUAUCUUGGUGAUAGACUGGCUUUGGAUGGAAGAUGACCUUGAUUUCACAAACUUAAGAAGUAGGCAAAAGUACUGCUCUUGCCUCUCUGAGAAAACUCUGAAGGCAAAGUCCUAACAAGUUAAGGAAUGCCUGUUGCAGGGAUUAGAAAGACAAUUGACUCCAUUAGGAAAGCUGAGAGACAAGUCAGUCCUGAAGCCUUAGUUUCAUCCAUGGACAUAAAGGCCAAUUUCAAGCAGUAUUAAAGUCACAUG
rnacentral:lncRNA from 1 species